CGGUCUUGGAUGGAAUUAUGGGUUCCCGCGAAGGAGCAAGAAUCCAAAUAGAACCAUAAUACACUCACACACCUGAGCACAUUUCAAGUUGACCUGAUUCCAGGAGAUGUCCAUAAAUCUCCACUCAAUUAUUGGUCAAGACUGGACCGCAACAAUGGUGGCCAUCCGUUUAGGAGGCGUAAUAUAUUGCCCAGCUUUGGCCAGCAUCAGGGUCGAUAAAAACCAUAUCUGGCCAAUUCUCACCGAUUUCACGCCAACGCAACCAAAAAGGGGGAGGAUGGGAGAAGUGAGAACGGGGAGGAAAUCGGACCCUUGGAAGAUUAAGGGGGAGGAUUUGAGACGUGGGCACUGCACUACCAUCUGUUGAAUGACAAUGAUGAUCACGACGGGGUUGAAUCAACCUUGAACCCUCCCACUGCGGAUAGAAAACGCUUUCAAACAGCGUGCAGUGCCCUAUGCCGGCUACUUGGAGUCACUGAAUCAUUCAGAAGCACCUCAAUAGAGCACCAUUGAUUGGUCUUGAGGAAUUUCAACCUAAUAACCAGACUUCACACUAGGACCCCAUUGGGUCAAACCUAAAGGAUCAUCACCAGUGCCCGGUGCUCACUGAACUGCAAGGUAAGAAAGAAGAGGAGCAAGUCAUCAUCCACCAUUUACAAUCAGACCUUCCUGCUGUGCUCACACCAAAAUCAUGGCAAGCAUUCAAAUCACCAUUGUCUACCCUCUUUGCCACAGACGUGCAAAUACGCGACUCAGGAGGCGGAGGAUGAAAAAACUUUGUCAAAUCAGAGUUAAAUAAUGGAGGAAAAGACACAUAUUAGUUUCGGUCUGGAUAUCCAGUCUUUCCUUUCAUUUAUCUUACUGAGGUGUCUAUUAAAUCACAGAC